UACGUAGGUCGCAAGCGUUGUCCGGAUUUACUGGGCGUAAAGAGCGCGCAGGCGGCUGGUCAAGUCCGAUGUGAAAUCUCCUGGCUCAACUGGGAAACUGCAUCGGAAACUGAUCGGCUUGAAGAUGGGAGAGGGUAGUGGAAUUCCCGGUGUAGUGGUGAAAUGCGUAGAUAUCGGGAGGAACACCAGUGGCGAAGGCGACUACCUGGCCCAUUCUUGACGCUGAGGCGCGAAAGCUAGGGGAGCGAACGGG
rnacentral:rRNA from 1 species